GGCCCGGUAGUUCAGCUGGAUAGAACGGUCCCCUCCUAAGGGACAGGUCGCAGGUUCGAAUCCUGCCCGGGUCACCA
rnacentral:tRNA from 1 species